UACAUAGGUCUCAAGCGUUGUUCGGAUUCAUUGGGCGUAAAGGGUGCGUAGGUGGCGCCGUAAGUCAGGUGUGAAAUUUCGGAGCUUAACUCCGAAACUGCAUUUGAUACUGCGGUGCUUGAGGACUGGAGAGGAGACUGGAAUUUACGGUGUAGCAGUGAAAUGCGUAGAGAUCGUAAGGAAGACCAGUGGCGAAGGCGGGUCUCUGGACAGUUCCUGACACUGAGGCACGAAGGCCAGGGGAGCAAACGGG
rnacentral:rRNA from 1 species